rnacentral:rRNA from 1 species
UACGGAGGGUGCAAGCGUUAUCCGGAAUUACUGGGUUUAAAGGGUGCGUAGGCGGUGGUGUAAGUCAGUUGUGAAAUGCCCCGGCUUAACCGGCGGAACUGCGAUUGAUACUGCAUCACUUGAAUCGGGAUGAGGUAGGCGGAAUGUGGCAUGUAGCGGUGAAAUGCUUAGAUAUGCCAUAGAACACCGAUUGCGAAGGCAGCUUGCUGGGCCUGAAUUGACGCUGAGGCACGGAAGCGUGGGGAGCAAACAGG